CGGCUGACGUAACUGCCCGCCAGCUCGUGGGAAGCGAGUCGCACACCUACGAGUUCGUGAAAACCCACCGGGUGGUUCGCGAAAGUUUAUUAUUUUGCCGGCAGCAGUUCAUCGCUGCGUUGUAGAUGCGCUUUUAUGCAACGCCCCAUUGUUCGUCACGAUGAUUGCGCCGAAGAAACGCCUAAUAGGACGACCAUAGUUGUCUGCGACGGAAUUUGUUAAUCUCGCAGGUUUCUAAAGCGAAGUGAGUUAAGUUUGGUGCAACGAGUUUUGUGCUCUUUCAGGUUGAGGGCGAUUAUGGCUUCUUUGGGAAUCAUCGGUGGAUAGUUUUGCAAUUGAGAAUCGUGCUGUGUAUCGUUUAAGAGGAUACGAAUUCGAACGUAAUGUUUACUCCUCGAUACAAUUACCUAGCUUACACGACUUGAUAAAAAAUACUAUGUAAAAAGUAUUGCCAGAGGAACUCAAACCGCGAAGGUUGAACAGAAGGUUGUUUUGAAAGAAACUCGAAGCUCGGUAUGUUGAUGUUGAUUGUGGUAGACACAGCGACCCGAAAAAUUGAUCGCGCGUACUCGGAUUUUAAACGAAGUUAUCCCUACAACGAGACAAACUAACAAGGAUAGGACUCGAACACUCGAAUUAUCGAUCGUAUCAUUUAUCGCAGCUUUCGCGUCAGGCUGAACUAAAAAUGAGAAAUGUAAACGGCCCCGAAACUGAAGGGAAACCUGAUACGCAGCAGACUAAAUCACCGUCAUUUUUCCAACAGCACCUGUUGACUUAUACAGGAAAGGGAAGGAGCACCGAUGAUCAAUCUGCACGAACUCUGCUCUUGAUAAGGGUGUUUUAACUAGCGAUAAGACUGCUAGAGGUUGCUCGUAGAAAGUCUCGCGAAAACAAGUUGAUCGAGUGCAUAAUUCGACAUUAAUCGAGCUCGACGGGUAAAGUACAGGAUGGACUGAACGACAAUUUCAUAAACUAGACAAAUUCCUAGACUAAAUUCUAAAUCUGGUAAAAAAUUCUGAAUCCGAAACAAAAGAAGGUAUAGGCUAAGGCAAAAACCUAGAGGACAAAGAAACAUAGUUUAUAAAAACGAUAGAAAAACUAGGAAGACUAAUAAAAGGCCAAAAAAUAAACAGACAAUUACGAAAAUCAAUCAGAACCAGGAAACUGAAAAAACGUAAAAGAACGAAGUAAAUCAUUGCAUCUAAUCGUUCGUAAAAGUGGAAGUUUCGAUAUAUUUCCUUUAGUCCCGGCUAAAUCCAAACAAACUUUUACGAUAAAUACGUCAGAGAUAAAAUUACACGAUCAACGAUUCUAAAAAUUUCAAUUAUAACAUCGUCGUGUAAUUAU